rnacentral:misc_RNA from 1 species
CGCACAUUGCGCCUGCUGGUAUUCCGGUAGGCAUGCCUGUUUGAGCGUCAGCAAAACACCCUCAACAGUAAUUUUUUUAUUGUUGGUUAUGGGCCAGUGGAGAAUAAGCUUAACCGCUGCUCCCGCCUUAAACUUGCUGCACGACCGCGAGCUAUUUGCUAGGUUAAUGGAGUGGUAUUUACGUAUAUUCCAGCGAACUGGCGUGGCGAACGGCGUUAAACCUGAUGUCGCGAAGGCGACUGAAGUUUGACCUCAAAUCAGACAAGGAUACCCGCUGAACUUAA